UAAGGGAUAUUGCGCAAUGGGCGAAAGCCUGACGCAGCAACGCCGCGUGGAGGAUGACGGCCUUCGGGUUGUAAACUCCUUUUGAGGCUGACGAGGAAGGACGGUAGGCUUCGAAGAAGUCACGGCUAACUACGUGCCAGCAGCCGCGGUAAAACGUAGGUGGCGAGCGUUAUCCGGAUUUACUGGGCGUAAAGGGUGUGCAGGCGGGUGGAUAAGUGGUGUAUGAAAGCGCUCGGCUCAACCGGGCAGGGUUAUGCCAGACUGUCUAUCUAGAGGGCGAGAGAGGGACGUGGAAUUCCGGGUGUAGUGGUGAAAUGCGUAGAGAUCCGGAGGAACCCCAGAGGCGAAGGCGGCGUCCUGGCUCGCAUCUGACGCUCAGACACGACAGCAUGGGGAGCGAACGGGAUUAGAUACCCCCGUAGUCC
rnacentral:rRNA from 1 species